CAGUGGACCCACUGUGUUUCUGAUGCAGA
rnacentral:piRNA from 1 species